UUCAAAAUAAGCUAAAUUAAGCUAAUGGGUUCAUACCUCAUAAAUGAUAGAUUAAAUCUUUUGAAA
rnacentral:tRNA from 1 species